rnacentral:rRNA from 1 species
UACAGAGGUCUCAAGCGUUGUUCGGAUUCAUUGGGCGUAAAGGGUGCGUAGGUGGCGGGGUUAGUCAGGUGUGAAAUCUCGGGGCUCAACCCCGAAACUGCACUUGAUACUGCCUCGCUAGAGUACUGGAGAGGAGAUUGGAAUUUACGGUGUAGCAGUGAAAUGCGUAGAUAUCGUAAGGAAGACCAGUGGCGAAGGCGAAUCUCUGGACAGUUACUGACACUGAGGCACGAAGGCCAGGGGAGCAAACGGG